UAUCCUUUGCUGACAUUGACUGAAUCGAUGCACAGUAACAUGCACUAGCACAUAUAGUAGGUGCUGACACACACACACACACACAAACAUACAGAGAGGGCGAGAGGGGGAGAGAGAGAGAUGUCCAUACACAUACUGAUUGAGCCGUUGUGACAUGGACAGCGCAACAGACUGUCACUUCAACUUCACCUGUAAGCAGGACAUUGGCCACGAUGAAAUACACACCACGGAUCUUUCAACACACUGCCCUGGGAGAACAUCACACUCUCAUAUGGAGCUGAGAUGGCAGUAAGUGGAAGUGGAAGUGAUUCUCCUGGAGUGUCUGUGCUUUCUCACUGGAAGAGACAACAUGGAAGUGCCAGACUCUGCCCUUCCAGCACCUUCAAGAUUUAAUUUAACACCAGCGUUAUUUUCCUUUUCCUUCAUUUUAACAACAAAUCACAAAUAAAGUCUCUGUAUAUGUACGACAACUAGUAAAUGUCAUUGGUAACACCUUGUGUUUUGUUUCUAGUCUUCCUCAGAUUGUGUGGUAGAAGUCCUGCCUUCUGUGAUUCACCUUUCAG